rnacentral:misc_RNA from 1 species
GAUGAAGAACGUAGCAAAAUGCGAUAAGUAAUGUGAAUUGCAGAAUUCAGUGAAUCAUCGAAUCUUUGAACGCACAUUGCGCCCGCUGGUAUUCCGGCGGGCAUGCCUGUUCGAGCGUCAUUUCAACCCUCAAGCCCCCGGGUUUGGUGUUGGGGAUCGGCUCUGCCCUUCUGGGCGGUGCCGCCCCCGAAAUACAUUGGCGGUCUCGCUGCAGCCUCCAUUGCGUAGUAGCUAACACCUCGCAACUGGAACGCGGCGCGGCCAUGCCGUAAAACCCCAACUUCUGAAUGUUGACCUCGGAUCAGGUAGGAAUACCCGCUGAACUUAAGCAUAUUAAUAAGCGGAGGA